CAAGGUGUUACGUUAGAUGAUUUGGCGUUCUUCUUACUGGCAAGGGAGAAGACCUGAAUCAUCUCUCUCAGAGCAGUACAGAAACAGGAGUCCCGUGACUCUGGAACUCUCUAAUUUGGUCACAGAUGAAGCUUAGCAGAUUACUGAGGCAUUCCUGGGGCUGUGUUGUAACAUAAGCCACAGAUAGAUGAGCUGAGAAAGUAGAAGAGUGUGCCGGCUGUACCCCGAAACAGCA